GGUUAAGCGACUAAGCGUACACGGUGGAUGCCCUGGCAGUCAGAGGCGAUGAAGGACGUGCUAAUCUGCGAAAAGCGACGGCGAGGUGAUAUGAACCCUUGACCCGUCGAUGUCCGAAUGGGGAAACCCAGUGCAAUCCGUUGCACUAUCGUUAACUGAAUACAUAGGUUAACGAGGCGAACCGGGGGAACUGAAACAUCUAAGUACCCCGAGGAAAAGAAAUCAACCGAGAUUCCCCCAGUAGCGGCGAGCGAACGGGGAGCAGCCCGGAGUCUGAAUCAGCUUGUGUGUUAGUGGAACGGUCUGGAAAGUCCGACGGUACAGGGUGAUAGUCCCGUACACGAAAGCACACUUGCUGUGAACUCGAAGAGUAGGGCGGGACACGUGGUAUCCUGUCUGAAUAUGGGGGGACCAUCCUCCAAGGCUAAAUACUCCUGACUGACCGAUAGUGAACCAGUACCGUGAGGGAAAGGCGAAAAGAACCCCGGCGAGGGGAGUGAAAAAGAACCUGAAACCGUGUACGUACAAGCAGUGGGAGCCUCUUUUAUGGGGUGACUGCGUACCUUUUGUAUAAUGGGUCAGCGACUUAUAUUCUGUAGCAAGGUUAACCGUAUAGGGGAGCCGAAGGGAAACCGAGUCUUAACUGGGCGUUAAGUUGCAGGGUAUAGACCCGAAACCCGGUGAUCUAGCCAUGGGCAGGUUGAAGGUUGGGUAACACUAACUGGAGGACCGAACCGACUAAUGUUGAAAAAUUAGCGGAUGACCUGUGGCUGGGGGUGAAAGGCCAAUCAAACCGGGAGAUAGCUGGUUCUCCCCGAAAGCUAUUUAGGUAGCGCCUCGUGAAUUCAUCUUCGGGGGUAGAGCACUGUUUCGGCUAGGGGGCCAUCCCGGCUUACCAACCCGAUGCAAACUACGAAUACCGAAGAAUGUUAUCACGGGAGACACACGGCGGGUGCUAACGUCCGUCGUGAAGAGGGAAACAACCCAGACCGCCAGCUAAGGUCCCAAAGUCAUGGUUAAGUGGGAAACGAUGUGGGAAGGCACAGACAGCCAGGAUGUUGGCUUAGAAGCAGCCAUCAUUUAAAGAAAGCGUAAUAGCUCACUGGUCGAGUCGGCCUGCGCGGAAGAUGUAACGGGGCUAAACCAUGCACCGAAGCUGCGGCAGCGACACUAUGUGUUGUUGGGUAGGGGAGCGUUCUGUAAGCCGUUGAAGGUGUGCUGUGAGGCAUGCUGGAGGUAUCAGAAGUGCGAAUGCUGACAUAAGUAACGAUAAAGCGGGUGAAAAGCCCGCUCGCCGGAAGACCAAGGGUUCCUGUCCAACGUUAAUCGGGGCAGGGUGAGUCGACCCCUAAGGCGAGGCCGAAAGGCGUAGUCGAUGGGAAACAGGUUAAUAUUCCUGUACUUGGUGUUACUGCGAAGGGGGGACGGAGAAGGCUAUGUUAGCCGGGCGACGGUUGUCCCGGUUUAAGCAUGUAGGCGGAGGUUCCAGGUAAAUCCGGUACCUUUUAACGCUGAGGUGUGAUGACGAGGCACUACGGUGCUGAAGUAACAAAUGCCCUGCUUCCAGGAAAAGCCUCUAAGCAUCAGGUAACACAAAAUCGUACCCCAAACCGACACAGGUGGUCAGGUAGAGAAUACCAAGGCGCUUGAGAGAACUCGGGUGAAGGAACUAGGCAAAAUGGUGCCGUAACUUCGGGAGAAGGCACGCUGAUAUGUAGGUGAAGCCCCUGCGGGUGGAGCUGAAAUCAGUCGAAGAUACCAGCUGGCUGCAACUGUUUAUUAAAAACACAGCACUGUGCAAACACGAAAGUGGACGUAUACGGUGUGACGCCUGCCCGGUGCCGGAAGGUUAAUUGAUGGGGUUAGCGGCAACGCGAAGCUCUUGAUCGAAGCCCCGGUAAACGGCGGCCGUAACUAUAACGGUCCUAAGGUAGCGAAAUUCCUUGUCGGGUAAGUUCCGACCUGCACGAAUGGCGUAAUGAUGGCCAGGCUGUCUCCACCCGAGACUCAGUGAAAUUGAACUCGCUGUGAAGAUGCAGUGUACCCGCGGCAAGACGGAAAGACCCCGUGAACCUUUACUAUAGCUUGACACUGAACACUGGUCCUUGAUGUGUAGGAUAGGUGGGAGGCUUUGAAGCGUGGACGCCAGUCUGCGUGGAGCCGUCCUUGAAAUACCACCCUUUAAUGGCUGGUGUUCUAACGUUGACCCGUAAUCCGGGUUGCGGACAGUGUCUGGUGGGUAGUUUGACUGGGGCGGUCUCCUCCCAAAGAGUAACGGAGGAGCACGAAGGUUAGCUAAUCCUGGUCGGACAUCAGGAGGUUAGUGCAAUGGCAUAAGCUAGCUUGACUGCGAGAGUGACGGCUCGAGCAGGUGCGAAAGCAGGUCAUAGUGAUCCGGUGGUUCUGAAUGGAAGGGCCAUCGCUCAACGGAUAAAAGGUACUCCGGGGAUAACAGGCUGAUACCGCCCAAGAGUUCAUAUCGACGGCGGUGUUUGGCACCUCGAUGUCGGCUCAUCACAUCCUGGGGCUGAAGUAGGUCCCAAGGGUAUGGCUGUUCGCCAUUUAAAGUGGUACGCGAGCUGGGUUUAGAACGUCGUGAGACAGUUCGGUCCCUAUCUGCCGUGGGCGCUGGAGAAUUGAGGGGGGCUGCUCCUAGUACGAGAGGACCGGAGUGGACGCAUCACUGGUGUUCGGGUUGUCAUGCCAAUGGCACUGCCCGGUAGCUAAAUGCGGAAGAGAUAAGUGCUGAAAGCAUCUAAGCACGAAACUUGCCCCGAGAUGAGUUCUCCCUGAGACUUUAAGUCUCCUGAAGGAACGUUGAAGACGACGACGUUGAUAGGUCGGGUGUGUAAGCGCAGCGAUGCGUUGAGCUAACCGAUACUAAUGAACCGUGAGGCUUAACCUU
rnacentral:rRNA from 1 species